GGCCAGUUAGCUCACUUGGUUAGAGCGUGGUGUUGAUAACACCAAGGUCAAGGGUUCGAUCCCCUUACCAGCCA